rnacentral:rRNA from 1 species
ACCCUGACUGUGCUAAGGUAGCAUAAUCACUUGACUUUUAAAUGGAGCCUGGAAUGAAAGAAAGCACGUAGAAUACUUGUCUCGCACGCAAUAUUUUAAAAUUAAUGUAUGAGUGAAAAUGCUCAUAAAUCUAAAAAUAGACGAGAAGACCCUUAGAAUUUUAAAAAUAUUACAAGUAUUUAUUUUGUAAGAAUUUUUUGUUGGGGCAACAAUAUUUCAAAAAAUAAAUAUGUAUUUGUUUAAUAUGUCGAUUUAAUAGUUAUAGU